ACGGAGGGUGCAAGCGUUAUUCGGAAUUACUGGGCGUAAAGCGCGCGCAGGCGGCAUGGCCAGUCAGACGUGAAAUCCCGGGGCUUAACCGCGGAACUGCGUUUGAUACUGCCAGGCUUGAGUGUCGGAGAGGGUGGGGGAAUUCCCGGUGUAGGGGUGAAAUCCGUAGAGAUCCGGAGGAACACCAGUGGCGAAGGCGGCCACCUGGACGACAACUGACGCUGAGGAGCGAAAGCGUGGGGAGCAAACAG
rnacentral:rRNA from 1 species